UGCACGCGGCCCGGGCCGCCGCCCCGCCCCCGCGAGGCCACGGCGGAGUCCUAGGGGCGGACCAGGCCUGCUCGCGAAUGCGGGACGCAUUCUCCGCCACCGCCUUUGCCCUCACCCCCUAAAAGCCUCGUCGGGGAGCAGCCGCCGACCGUGGCUGGGGGAGGGGGCUGCUGCUUGCUCCUCCCUUCGAGGCCCGUGCUCCUGGCUGGACUGCCCUGCUGGGCCUCUGCCGCCCAUCGGUUAGGAGGAUGAGAGCUGGCGCUUGAUGGGUGAAGCCAACACACACAAUGGUCAACUGCUGGUUCUGCAACCACGAUACACUGGUGCCCUAUGGGAAUCGCAACUGUUGGGACUGUCCCCACUGUGAGCAGUACAAUGGCUUUCAAGAGAAUGGAGACUACAACAAGCCAAUCCCAGCACAGUACAUGGAACACCUGAACCACGUGGUGAGCAGCGUGCCCAGUCCCCGGGACCCUGCACAGCCACAGCAGUGGGUGAGCAGCCAGGUCCUGCUGUGCCGAAGGUGCAGCCACCACCAGACCACCAAGAUCAAGCAGCUGGCUGCUUUCACACCACGGGAGGAGGGCCGCUACGAUGAGGAGAUUGAGGUGUACCGCCACCACUUGGAGCAGAUGUACAAGCUGUGCCGCCCGUGCCAGGCGGCCGUCGAGUACUACAUCAAACACCAGAACCGCCAGCUGCGUGCCCUGCUUCUCAGCCACCAGUUCCGGCGUCGGGAGGCUGACCAGGCCCAUGGGCAGAGUUUCAGUUCCUCGGCAGUGAAGGCCCCAUUCCAGGUCAUCCUGCUCCGUGCCCUGGCCUUCCUGGCCUGUGCCUUCUUGUUGUUCACUACACUGUAUGGGCCCAGCGAACCCUUCACCCCGGGGGCUGCCUUGCCCCCAGCCCUACCUCCUGGGGGCAACAGUUCUGCGGCCUCGGACAACACCACUUCUCAGGCGGAGGGCUGGCAGCAGCUGCUGGGUCUAUUGCCUGAGCAUGCCACAGAGAAGCUACAUGAGGCCUGGGCCUUUGGGCAGAGCCACCAGACCAGCAUUGUGGCAGUGGGCCUGCUCACCUGCCUGCUGGCCAUGCUGCUGGCUGGCCGUAUCAGGCUCCGGCGGAUCGAUGCCUUCUCCACCUGCCUCUGGGCCCUGCUGCUGGGGCUGCACCUGGCAGAGCAUUAUCUACAGGCUGCCUCACCCGGCUGGCUAGACACACUCAAGUUCAGUACCACGUCCCUGUGCUGCCUGGUGGGCUUCACCGCAGCUGUGGCUACGAGGAAAUCGACAGGCCCACGGAGGUUCCGGCCCCGAAGGUCAGAGAAGCAGCAGUGACUGCAGGGGGGAGGACAGGUGGCAGAUGGGCCGGGCUCGGCCCCGCCCCCUGAAGCUGGCAACAACUUGUCUUAGCCAUCCCACUCCCACCCUCUUAGCACAGCUUUGAGUUCAUGCUCAUCCCCUCCGCUCGCUGUCUUAGCCAUCCCGCUCCCCCAGUCUCGGUGCUCCCCAGGUGGCCUGUACUGGCUCACCACUGCCACCGCUUCUGGCCUGAGACCCUGUCAUAGCCCCAUAGCUUCCUGCCAGCUCUAGGCACCCAGUCUUGUCAUUGCUUCCCCCUGGCUCCUAGUCCACAGGCGAGGGUGUAGACUGCUGCUGUACCCUUGUAAUUUGCUUGACACCGGCCAGUUUACAAGCCAUGGCCUCUGAGCAUGGUGAGCUAGGACUAGAGCAGCCCGCUCAUCCCCCGAACCUCCUGGUCCCUCUUUCCUGAGACUCAUGGUCCCUCAGGGUCCUUCCCUGGAGUAGCAAGGGUCGUCCUUGGGUCCAGCCUGCCCUGGCUGUGUCUGUGAGGCAGGCUCCUCUCGGGUGGGCAGUAGAAAGCCCCGCAGUUCCUUAUGGUCAGCAAGUUCCAAUGGUCUGCCAGGUAGGAGGAGGAUGGAUCAUCCUAGAUCAGUAGCCGCUCCGCACAAACAGGACCCAACAGACUGUUGGUGACACCGGGUCAUUGUCCCUUGUACCUCUCUAGCAUUGGUGGCUUCCUUGAAAUAAUUUUUGGAGGGUGCCAAGGCUUCUGCCCUCGGUUUCUCUGGGGGCAGCUGCUGGCCCCAUGUGGUCUCAGCCUCACCCUCCUCCCAGGCACAGCUUCCCCCAAAAUUUGACUCAGCUCAGGCCCCUGCUAACUGAUGGGUUUUUGACAAAUCCCUGUUGUCUCAGCCAUCCGGAGUGGGAAGUGCUGGGUCCUCUUAUAAGGCUCUGAGGUGCUGGCCUCAGUGGAUUUGAGGACCACGAGAGGUGACACACUGGCAGUGAAGGUAAUGGCCAUGGGAAGAAGUCAUUCAUUGUCUAAGGAUCCAUCUGGACCAUAGGCCCAUGCUCCGCCCACCUGGCAUGCUGCCCUCUGGUGGCUCCCGGUUGACUCACACUGGUGGUGUUGCUACUGCCGCUUGUCUGCUAACUUAAAUCCCUCUAAGUGCGGCUCUUUCACCCUCUGCACUGGAGCCCAGGGAGGGCAGAGGAAGAUUUCACACGAGUGAGUGUCACAUCAGACCUGACCAUCCACUGGGGUCUUUGUGAGGUGGCUGGUCAGUCCUCCUUGGAACCCCAUAGGGAGCUUGAGAGGCAAGCAGGCCCCACUGUGGUAAAGCUGUUUGAGGCCUCUAUCCUCUGACCCUCCGUUAUCAGAUAGCAACCCGGGAUUACUCAGCGUCCAUGUGGUGGCCUGCCAGUGUCAGGAGAGCAGGCGUUGCUUCAGGCAUCGCAGGGCUCAGCUUGCUCUGGGUGAGGGUGUGGAAGGUCUCUGACGUGUAGGUGAGGCCCUGGUUGAUGUGGGCUAGUUGCUGCUGACCUUGUGGGGUACAGCUGUCUGAGAGGACGAGGAACGCCUUCCUGUCUCUUUCCUCCAAGGAACUGGCCUACGGGAAAAAAGAUGUAACAGGCGGUGGGGCUGUUGUCUGCGCGUCCUCUCCUGUGUAUUGUGGAUCUCAAAGAAGCUGACAAUAUGGUGUUAAUUUCUGCAUUUUUGGCAUUAGAUAGAAGCCGGUGUGUGCGUGCGUGCGUGUGUGCAUGUGUGUGUUUAAAUUAUUUAUGAUACACAGAGCCAGCUCUGAGCAGCCAGAAUCCCUGCUGAGCCUGUCACCCUGCCUGUUGGUGGGAGUAGACAGCAUGAUGGGUCGGGAUUGCUGGCCUUUUAAAGCGUUCCUGCUACUUUUUAACAUUAAUGGUCCUUUAACGUUUUGUUAGUUGGAGAAAGCGUGUUCUGGGGUCGCUGGCAGAAGCUGAGGAAACUCAGGCACCCUUGGGUUGUGGCUCAUUGACUGGGACAACCACUGGGCCGUCCCCGUUCAGAGUGGGAUCAUCCCAGGUACAUAGAGGUGGUGUCCCUGAGAAAGGAGGGAGGGAGACUGCUCACGUCUGCGUCUGGGGCCCACGCUGGCCCGAGCAGAGCAGACUCCAGUAACCCUUGCCCUGGAGCAGGCCACCCUCCAUCCCCAGGCAGCCUGUCCAUCCCGCCCGCCGUGCCCUCUGUCUGCGCCCAGUGCAAGCCCGUGUCAUGUAGUAGAUUGUGAUUGUCCAGCGACCCUAACAACUGUAACCACCACUGGCCAUAGCUGCCAUGUUUUGAAUGCUGUGUUUUCAAUAAAUGCCUCCUGGGUCCUGCUCAUUCCGGUUGGCACCAGGUACCGCGUCUUUUUUUCUUUCAUGUUCUUCAGAAGGGCUUCUGUUCCACAAGGGAGGUGGGUUGGUUUGGGGUACUGCAUUUGGGGUUGGGAGCAGGAUGGGGAUCUGGCGAUGAGGAGGAGUGCUUACGGGCCCAGCUGCUCCUCUGUCCUGUGGGUGAGCUGCUGCCUGAGCAGCUCCACUCUGGAUGGCGCGGUGAGGGGGAAGGCUUGAGCCUCCCUCGGGGUUGGAUUAGUGCGCGUCGGCCUGCUGGCCUUCUUCACAGGAACAGGAAGGAGACUCGCGGGUGGGGAUUGAGCAUGCAGAUAUUUGGGGACCUCUCACUGAAGAAGCAUUGCGCCCUUACAGAAGAGACUGCCUCAGGAACUGCCCAGGGCAGAGCAGAGCAGAGCAGAGCCCAGCCCCUGCCAAGCUUCCCCACCUUUGGAAUUCACUCCUCUGCUGACGGUACUCUGUGUCACAGCAAGAGGGAGACAGACCUCCACAGCCCUCUCACAGUGCAGCCUGAGAGAGGCUUCAAACCUGGCAGCAGUUCCUGUGCUUAGUGGCUAGGACUCCCAGGGUUAACCAUGGCUGUGGCCCAAGAGCGAGCAGGGCUGGAGAGAGUGGGGAUACACUAGCAACGCCCAGCAUAGCUUUAGGUGCCGGCCUAAGGGGCCAGGACAGCGGGAUCCCCGCCUGGCUAGGACCUUCCAUGCACUGCAUCCCCCGUUGCUUGCUGGUCCUUGGGGGCUGCCCUUUCCAGGAUCACCCUUGGCUCCUGGGUAUGUCAGGAAUGGACACAGGAGACCUAGUGUAGCAUCCUAUGCUGCCACCUGCUGGAAGGGCUUGGCCAUGCCUUUGCACCUGCUGACACCUGACUGACACCUGCUGCAACUUCACCAAUAAAUUCUCAGCAGUGCCCAGUGUCCUCCCAGAGGCUCAUACACAGUCAAGCAUGUGGUACCAGGUUCCAGCCUCGCCUCUGCUGGCCCUAAAGUGCCUGGACAUGUUCCCCCUGGAACAUUCACUGAGAUCCAGCCAGACUCAGUUGUAAUCCUGAAACGAAAAGGCAAAACAGCACACUUUGGGGCGGGGGGGGGGGGGGGGCAUUUUGCUAGAAAUCAAACCCAGACACACACACCUGACAGAUAAACUACCACUGAGGUCAACCCCAUUCCACAAAAAAAAUCAACUUAAGACAGGGAUGGUAUUCCUCCUCAGUCUUUGAUCAAGGAGUAGGGUUUCUAACAGCCCCCAAAAGACAGCUCUGGGAGCAAAGUUAGGGUACAUCCAAGAAUGCCCCUCUGCAAUUUUGCUGGGCCCUGAUUUCCUAUGUCCCCCAGACACUGAGCUGGAAGUACUGGUGGCUUCACGGUCCUUUGCAAGAGACUGGGAAGGUCAUCUGGUUCUCUGGACAUUCACCAUCUGGCUACAUACACCUCUCUUAUAAAAUUGAAAAGUGGGGAAAGAGGUGGGGCAGAGCUUGGCUAGCAGUAGCCCCCCAAGCACUCGGCCACGCUAGCAUGAGUACCUUACCCCUGCUCACCACGGGGCCCGGCCCUGCCAGCCCGGUUCGUCGGCACAUUGUCUGCUGGGCUCGUUUGUCCCUUGGGACCGAGGUAAGGCUGGAUAGCAGAAGCUCCUUCCAGAUGGCAGACUAAUAUAUUAACUGCCUCUGUCCCUCUCCCCUCUGUAAUUGGGUGCCUUAAUCGGAAGCAUGGUUGACAUUCUGGCCUGUGGCCAUCAGGUUCUGUUGUGUGAUUUGUCCUGUUCUCAAGUUAAAGAGACACUGUCACCUGUCUUUCGGGCAGCUUGGUGGCGGUUUUGGGUCUUCUCUAAGUUUGAGUUUGGCAAGUAAAGUGUAAGAGCCUCUUCUGGGGACCCAAGGCCUGGCUGCCUCCCCCUGUGCUGCAGGAGACAGGCUCAUUAUCAUUAGCACAGCCCCAUGGAGAUAUGACAGCACCUUCUGAAGCUCCAGUCCAGUUGGAGAUCAUCCCGAGUGUCUCUGAGCCCAGCUGCUCUGUUGGGAACUUGUAGGCAAAGAAUGGGAGGUGGCCAGAAGAACCCCAGGUCUGCUGAGCCUAGCGGAGUGCCUGGUCUGGGGAUAGGAACGUUUGCUUCAGGGCCAAGGGUGGAUUGGCAUGAAGCUGGCCAGGGUAACAGUGUCGCUUUAAUGCCGAGACUCCCGGUAGACGUAGAUUGCAGUGAGCCUGAGGGGCUGGAGGGGGCAUGUGGGGUGGGGUGAGUCACGUUGGCAUUUCCCAGCCACCUGCUCCUAAUCAGUGGACAGUUGCCUCUUUGCUUCGACUAACGCACGCCUCCUGUGGGACCCUGACUCAGGCCCACCUCAUACCCUGGGAGGGGCCGGGCCCAUUGUGCAGGGGCUUCCUCCAGAACCUUCCUGAUGCAGUCUCCUCUCUUUGUGUCCCACGGGCCCUUGCAGGUACUUCUCCGGAGACUCUGCCAGCCUUUUUCCUUCCAGCCCCAGCCUGGCUGUGCCCUACCCAAGUGUCACAUCCUCGCCAGCAUCCCUGUUCAUCCCCACCCCACCUGGCUUCCUGCCUCUCACCAAGCAGCAGCUGUUCCGAUCUCCCCGUCGGGUCUCCCCCUCCUCACUGCCAGGCCGCCUCAGUCGGGCCCUCUCGCUGGGAACCAUACCUCCUCUGACCCGGACUGACUCAGGAUACCUGUUCAGCGGGAGCCGGCCACCGUCUCGGGUGUCUCCAGCAGGGGAGGUUUCUCUUUCAGAUUACUUUUCUCUGCUGUCCAGCAGCUUCCCUGCUUCUCCCCUCCCUUCCCCAGCACCUUCCGUGGCCAGCUCCGUGGCCUCCAGCUCUGGCUCCUUGCGCCACCGCAGGCCCCUCAUCAGCCCUGCACGGCUCAACCUGAAAGGACAGAAACUGCUGCUGUUCUCAUCCCCUGGGGAAGCACCAAAUACCCCCAGCAGCUCAGAGGAGUUCUCGCCACCCAACGGCAGCCUCUUCAUUGAGUCUCCCCAGCUGCCACAGAGGAAUCACACUCGGGACACAAAGCACACCAUGGAGAUGAGGUCGAUGCUGGCCAGAGACAGCGCCCGCAGUAGCCACUCCAUCAAGAAAGAGGACGAGUCGUCUCAGUCCUCCACCUGCGUCGUAGACACCACCACCAAAGGGUGCUCAGAGGAGACCACUCCCUGGAAAGCUCGUGUCAGUCCCUCCCUGGUCCGGGGCCUCCUGGCUGUGAGUUUGGCAGUCAAUGCUCUCUUCACCUCGGCCUACCUGUACCAGAGCCUGCGCUGACCUCCGAGUGCCCUUCCCGAGGGCAGUGCCAGGUGCAUGCUGCUUCCGACACUGGCGCUGAGAUCCCUCCCCGAGGGGCUCUGUCUCUGCCUUGACCUCCUGGGUCAAGUCCCUGACCUCAGGAUACCUGCUGUCCACCCAACAGACUGCAAACAUCAACUGUGUUUGGUGCUGACACUCUGAACCCAAAACCAGGGAUCUCUGACAGGCUUGCCUGGCCCCAGGGACACUACUGCUACUGUAGCUGUGGCAGGGACCAACCAGGCUGCCUGUGCCCGUCUGCUGCCUCCGAGACACCAGAGGUCUGCUGCAGAGCCCCACCAAGAACCAAGAUGAAGAAAGCCCCUGAGAGAUGCACAUGGAGCCUGGAUCACUUCAUCCUCACACCUGUUCCCUCCAGAGGGCCCGGCUCCCUGCAUCAGGCAGCAGCCGCCCAUCUCGCCCCAACUGUUGGCUCCAGGCAGGGCUGGGCAGCAGGGAGCCUGGGACUGAACAAUAAACCCAUGAUCUCCUGCCUCACACACCUGUUUGUGACUUUCCCAGCAAGUAGCUCUGUUACCCUGAGAACACCAGAGCUCCCCUUGUCUCCCUCUCUCUCUCAUCCAGGGUCCCUGCCUGACCCACCAGUUGCUCGUGAGCUGCACAGUUCAGAUGAGACUGGACCCUCCCUUACUUACUCCUGAGCCCUGCUCUCCUCUCCUCCAUCCUGUCCCAAUCUGUGUCCCCCUUGACCUGUGGCUCCAGGCCAUCGGCAUUGGUGCCUACGUGUCCAGCCACUGCCUGCUGAGGGCACUGCAGGCUUGCUGGAGCACGCUGGAGCACAUCCUGUCCCAUGAGGGAGGAGGAGGAGCGUUGGCCUAACACUGGCUGUUUCGAUAGUGUGGGGGCUACAUGUGCCUGUAGGGGUCAGGCCUUGGCCCUGUGUGCGUGUGAGCCUGUGUGUGUAUGAGUGUGUGUGUGAGUGUGUGUGUGUGUGUGUGUGUGUGUAUGUGUAUUUGUAUUAUACCCCUGGGGAUUCUUGUGGGGGAGGGGCAUGGGGAAGGGAAGGGUCUUCACUGUCAUUCAGGGAUAAAAUUUAACUUUAUUUUUCUACACAUCUGUUGCCAGGUGAGGCACGUGCUUUGAAGCAGAUGCCUUCAGCCCUCCCUGCUGGGAGGUGGUCUCUCAAGCUCUGGGUGCUUUUAGUACUUUUUUUUUUUUUUAACUGUAGGGAAGCAGCCCUGACCUUACCUCUCCACUCCUGUCCCGGGAGCUCUCAAUGCUAUCCUGGAUUGCCUCGUACCAGUCAGAGGUCAGGACUCCAUGAGUCCAGCUGCCACAAAGGGUUCAGCUUGGAGGUGACACCUCUUUGGUCUACAUUUGUACAAUGGAUGCAUCAAGUUUCUAAAUUUUAUUUCCUGCCUAAAGAAACCAAAUUGUCCCUCAGCAUCCUUGUCUCCAGCCCUGAGGAAACACCUAAAGAGAAGCAAUGGCUCCUCCCAGCAGGGCAGCCUGGCACCCUGCGCACCCAGGAGGGCCUUUUAUGUUUUGAUUCAUAUAUAAACACGAUGUUAUUUUUCUUUACAAAAGCAAAAAAAUAAAAACCGUACCAACCUUUGACUUGUA